AUCCAGCUGAAGAAUUCCAAAUAAACGAAACGCGCGUCCUGGAU
rnacentral:hammerhead_ribozyme from 1 species